rnacentral:rRNA from 1 species
AGGAUGAACGCUGGCGGCGUGCCUAAUACAUGCAAGUCGAGCGGCAGCACGGUCUUCGGACUGGUGGCGAGCGGCGGACGGCUGAGUAACGCGUGGGAACGUACCCCAAAGUGAGGGAUAAGCACCAGAAAUGGUGUCUAAUACCGCAUGUGCUCUAAGGAGUAAAGCUUCGGCGCUUUGGGAACGGCCUGCGUCCGAUUAGCUAGUUGGUAAGGUAAUGGCUUACCAAGGUUACGAUCGGUAGCUGGUCUGAGAGGAUGACCAGCCAGACUGGGACUGAGAACGGCCCAGACUCCUACGGGAGGCAGCAGUAGGGAAUUUUCCACAAUGGGCGAAAGCCUGAUGGAGCAACGCCGCGUGCAGGAUGAAGGCCUUCGGGUUGUAAACUGCUUUUAUGUAUGACGAUUAUGACGGUAGUACAUGAAUAAGGAUCGGCUAACUCCGUGCCAGCAGCCGC